CCCGAAGUGGCGAAAUGGCAGACGCGCGGGAUUCAAAAUCCCGUUCCCGCAAGGGAGUGAGGGUUCAAGUCCCUCCUUCGGGA
rnacentral:tRNA from 1 species